rnacentral:lncRNA from 1 species
UGAACAUUUAAAAUAACAGCUGUCUCAGAUUUCUCCAUAACUGAAAAGGAACCUCUCCCAACUAAGAAAACCAUGCCUGCUUUUAAGAAUGCUAUUAGGUCCCCUAAAAUUUGGAUGAAAAUUUCAUUGUACUUAGCUUACUGUAUUUAAUUUCAAUAGAUCUUUUACUCCUCAUUACUCAUGAGUCAAUCAAGAGUCACCUUUAAUUAAGACUUAUAAUUCCUUGAUGGCAGUAUGAAUUUAAUGUAGAUCUCAAAUAAACCACUCAAAAUUUAAUACUGACUGCACUUGAAGUAUGAAUAGUCUAAA